UCAACAUGAGGAGGAGCUCAUU
rnacentral:miRNA from 1 species